rnacentral:rRNA from 1 species
GACGUAGGGCGCGAGCGUUGUCCGGAUUUAUUGGGCGUAAAGGGCGCGUAGGCGGCCAUGCGUGUCUUCCGUGAAAUCCCUCGGCUUAACUGAGGACGUGCGGAAGAAACUGCAAGGCUCGAGUCCGGGAGAGGGGGGUGGAAUUCCCAGUGUAGCGGUGAAAUGCGUAGAUAUUGGGAGGAACACCGGUGGCGAAGGCGGCCCCCUGGACCGGUACUGACGCUGAGGCGCGAAAGCGUGGGUAGCAAACGGG